rnacentral:rRNA from 1 species
UGGGGAAUUUUGCACAAUGGGGGAAACCCUGAUGCAGCGACGCCGCGUGAUUUAGAAGGCCUUCGGGUUGUAAAAAUCUUUUCUAUGGGAAGAAAAUGACAGUACCAUAGGAAUAAGGACCGGCUAAUUACGUGCCAGCAGCCGCGGUAAUACGUAAGGUCCGAGCGUUGUCCGGAAUCAUUGGGCGUAAAGGGUACGUAGGCGGGUAAGCAAGUUAGAAGUGAAAUCCUGUAGCUCAACUACAGUAAGCUUUUAAAACUGCUCAUCUUGAGAUAUGGAAGGGAAAGUGGAAUUCCUAGGGUAGCGGUGAAAUGCGCAGAUAUUAGGAGGAAUACCGGUGGCGAAGGCGACUUUCUGGCCAUAAUCUGACGCUGGGGUACGAAAGCGUGGGUAGCAAACAGG